rnacentral:lncRNA from 1 species
ACCCCUCUCCCCGGCAUACUGCUGGGCCACAUGGAGUUGGUUACUCACACAUGGACCCCUCUCCCCAGCACACUGCUGGAUUACACGGAGCUGGUCACUCACGGAUUGACCCCUCUCCCCGGCACACCGCUGGGCCACAUGGAGCUGGUUACUCACACAUGGACCCCUCUCCCCGGCACACUGCUGGGCCACACGUCCCAGGUCCUUUAUGGUUAGACAUGGCUGCAUCAUGGAAAAUGGGCAGAGUGAACAUGUUUUGCUUUGGGGACUAAGUCCUUAAGAAGCACUGGGCCUCUGCACACUCUUCCUCCUUUCUUGCACUGGAAGCACGAGUGAGUCCACCACAUAGGGCAGACGAUGGGAUUCACCCAGGUCCCAAAGUCGCCACCUCCUGCAGCAGGAACUGCCCUCCUUGCACUCCUGCUUGAACAAGAAGUGAGCUUCUGGUGCGUUUGGCCCCAAAUGUAUUGAGCGGUCUGUUGUGACCACAUGCAGCUGACUGUAAUCUGUAAACCCACUGUGCUAAUUGAAGUAGAUUAUUUUUGCUGGCUCUUCCAAGUAACCAAAACAUCUAGUUUCCCCAAACAGAGAUUCAUCCAAAAUUUUGGUCAGUUGUGCCUCAUAGUGUAUAUUAAUAACUAGUAGUUUAAAUGGGGAACCACAUCUGCUUCUGGAAUCUUACCAAGUGGGAUCUUGGAGCAGGUUAUGCUGGAGGAAGCAUGCGUCACUUUCUGUUCGUGAAAGUGAAGUGUGAGGAGGCCGCCAUCAUCAGCCAGGGCCCCUGGGGCUUCUGAACUUACAUUCUGCCUCAACAGGCUGGAGUUUCUAAACAGUACGAAAGACCCCAACGAGUUGUCACCCAUUGCAGGUCAGCUAUUAAUGAAUUGCUGAUGACUAGCACUUGCUCUUUUAUAAUGAGCAUCACUAGCAUAUUCACUGAUGUUGUAGAUCUCAUUGUUCAAAAGGAAGGUCUGUGAAGGGGUCUGCCUCUGGCUCCUAAGGCGAAGCUCCUCUGUGUGUGUGUGUGUGUGUGUGUGUGUGUGUAAGAGGUGCAAUUUAUGCAGCAGAUGUUGGAGCCCCGACUGUGUCACACACCAGGAAACAGCAAUGAAGAAGAGAUGCACCUGCCCCAUGGUGCAGAGGAUUCUGCGUGUCCCAGCCUCCAGCACCGAACCACUGAAAUUGUUCGCAUGAGGCAUCUUACCUGGUAAAGGGUUUUGUGUUCCCAGCACUCCCCUGGUCCUGCUCUUGGCUGUUCCUGGUAGCAGCUGGUUUCUGGGAUAAUGGCUCUGCCAAGCAGACAUCAUUCCCUCUAUGGAAGUGCGAGGAGCAUGAUUUGAAACUCGAUGAGGGAAAGUGAUCUGUGGGUGCCUCAUUUCUGGUAAGAGGCUUGUGAUGGCUUAUAAAUCCAUGAUGGGCUGAACUGUGUCUCUUCCAAAUUCAUAAGUUGAAGUCCUACACUCCCAGUGCCUUAGAAUGUGACUGUAUUUAGAGAUGGCGUCUUUAACGAGGUCAUUAAGUCAUACCGAAGUCAGUAGGUUUGGUUCUAAUUCAACCUGCCUGGUAUCCUCAUAAGAAGAAGAGAUGAGGACACAGACACACAGAGGGACGACCAUGUGAAGACCCUCGGAGAGAGGGCUCAGGAAAAGGGAGCCCUGCUGGUACCUCGGUCUUAGAGGUCCAGCUUCCAGAUUUGGGAGACAUAAGCUUCUGUUGUUUAAGCCUCACUGCCCGUCCCUCCCAUCCUCAGGGCUUGUCAUGGUGGCCUGAGCUGACUGAUACAGGGUCCCAUUGGCUUGUUGCUCUGACACCACUUUUCACUACCCUCUCCCCACCGUCCCACCCUUCUCCAGCCAUGCAGAUGUUCUUUCUCUCCCUUGAACAUGUAGGUAGGGUUGGCUGGCUGGCUCAUCUGCUUGGAAUGUUCUUCCCCAGACACCUUCACGUGGCUGUUCCUUCACUUACCUGCAGUCUUU